rnacentral:rRNA from 1 species
UACGGAGGGUGCAAGCGUUGUCCGGAAUCACUGGGCGUAAAGGGCGCGUAGGUGGCCUGGUAAGUAGGGGGUGAAAUCCUGCGGCUUAACCGCAGGGCUGCCUUCUAAACUGUCAGGCUUGAGCACGGUAGAGGCAGAUGGAAUUCCCGGUGUAGCGGUGGAAUGCGUAGAGAUCGGGAAGAACAUCAGUGGCGAAGGCGGUCUGCUGGGCCGUUGCUGACGCUGAGGCGCGACAGCGUGGGGAGCAAACAGG